UACAGAGGUCUCAAGCGUUGUUCGGAUUCAUUGGGCGUAAAGGGUGCGUAGGUGGCGCCGUAAGUCGGGUGUGAAAUUUCGGAGCUUAACUCCGAAACUGCAUUCGAUACUGCGGUGCUUGAGGACUGGAGAGGAGACUGGAAUUCAUGGUGUAGCAGUGAAAUGCGUAGAGAUCAUGAGGAAGACCAGUGGCGAAAGCGGGUCUCUGGACAGUUCCUGACACUGAGGCACGAAGGCCAGGGAGCAAACGGG
rnacentral:rRNA from 1 species